rnacentral:rRNA from 1 species
AUUGAACGCUGGCGGAAUGCUUUACACAUGCAAGUCGAACGGUAGAGGGGGCAACCCCUUGAGAGUGGCGAACGGGUGAGUAAUAUAUCGGAACGUGCCCAGUCGUGGGGAUAACGUAGCGAAAGUUACGCUAAUACCGCAUACGAUCUAAGGAUGAAAGCGGGGGAUCGCAAGACCUCGCGCGAUUGGAGCGGCCGAUAUCAGAUUAGGUAGUUGGUGAGGUAAAGGCUCACCAAGCCAACGAUCUGUAGCUGGUCUGAGAGGACGACCAGCCACACUGGAACUGAGACACGGCCAGACUCCUACGGGAGGCAGCAGUGGGGAAUUUUGGA